rnacentral:tRNA from 1 species
UCUGAAAUAACUCAGUUGGUAGAGUGUCAGACUACAAAUCGGAAGGUUCUUGGUUCGAUCCCCCGUUCCGGCA